AUGAGAAACAACACUCUUUAAUAGACAUUCAAUACAUGUAAGCAUGUUUAUUAAGUUAAGUGGCUCUCCUCUUAGAUUCCUUUUUUGGUUGUCGAUGACGAAUCAAAUUUACAUUGGCACUUGUGAGUCAUAGGCACAAAUUUUGACACAUAAAAGAACAAUCUCUAGUUGAGUUACACACCAACUUUAAAACAUGUCCCCUUGUUUUGGCUCCAAUAUAUAACUAUAA
rnacentral:lncRNA from 1 species